rnacentral:lncRNA from 10 species
GGGGCAGAAGGCAGAAGGAGAUACUGAGAUGAAAGAAGUUCAGUGAGAUGAAGUGACUUAUCUGAGGACUCACGCUCAAGGGUACCCAAGCCAGGACUAGGACCAGCUAAAAGCAUGAACACCAGCCAAUCUCAGAAAGGGGUUAAUUGCUGAAGACAUAGACUAUUAGCUUACAGGAGCCCUCUCAGCCCAAGCACUUUAAUUUCUUAGUAGCUACAAGGAGGAAGAUUGCACAUCUUCAAAGGAAACUAGAUGCAUGAUAUUGGUGAGAUGAGACUUGGAGGUGACUUCACAGAUGACGGGUUUAAUGCCCCAUAAUUAUGAAGGAAGGCCAGUCUCUGCCAGUCUGACUCAGAGGGCUUACUGAGUCAUCCUAUUUGUCCUCUGCUGCUAUUUAUGGGCUUCCCAGUUGCUGAUAUUUGCCGGGCUGGUCUCCAGCUCCUAACCACGAGUGAUCUGCC